CCAGCUCGAAGGCCACGAAGCUCACCACGCACAGGAUGUCGUCCAUCCGAUUUCGUGAGCGGGCUAAGGUCUGAGUAUUACAAUCCCCCUUGAUCGGCUCUAGCAGGGCCUGGUCAUAGUGGACCAAGCGAUGUACCAGAAAAUCAGCUCUUUCUUCAUCGCCCAAGAUCCUGUUAUUCAGGGGAGGUGAGGAGACUAUGGCUUUGGAAUGUGUCGCGGGGAUCGGGCAGGGUUCUGGGUCGCUGUCUGUUACCUUCAUCUCGCAUAUGUGCCUUCCAAAAGGGCGCUCUGAGCGCAUAUCACAACAACCUCGUCGUUGAUCAAAGUGUCAACCAUAAACCAUGGACAACAGCCAGAUAGGUUGGCUGUGUGCACAGUGGCAAUAUUCGGAUGGAUCAGCCCAGAUCCUAUGGCAAGGGUGUCGCAUGGCACCUUCCCCUAGCUCAGAUUGAGGCUCAACGAUUCAUCCCGAUGGCAUUGGUCACCACCCUUGAUGCUCAGUCUGAAUAGCUGCAUGGGGGUGACAGCUUUAGCGAGAGUUUUUUCUGCGCGCAAAAGAUGUUCUUGCAAACGAGAAGGUGGUGGGCGCGGUCAUAGGACUCUUGCCCUUGAGUGCACUUCGUGGCUCACAUCUCUAUCUGGGAUGUGGAACUCGAUUCAGACUACUCUUGGACUGG
rnacentral:RNase_P_RNA from 2 species